CAGUUCCCCAAUUGGAGGCAGUGGUGGUGGGUUUCUCCCCUCAACUCUUGAGUAUUAUAAUAUUAUUACUAUUCAACUAACAGUGAUCAAUGGAGCCCACCAACUCUUAAAAUUUGGGUCUGUGAGGAGUUAUCCCUUCAACUUUUGAGUAGUAUUAUUAGUAUUCAGCUAAUAGCAAUAUUUACAAAAGCCACCAACCGCUAAUUUGGGGUUGUUCCACCAGCUUUGACUUAUUAUUAUUUGGCUAAUAGCAAUAUUUCUGAAAGUCAUGGAUUACUAAAUUUGAAUUUGUGAGGGGUUGUUUCCUCAGCUUCAACUAUUAUUAUUUAUACUCAAACAAUAGCGGUAUUUACCAAAGCCACUCACUCCUAAUUUGGACCUGUGAGGUAUUAUCUGUUCAGCUCUGACAAUAAUUACUAUUAUUUAUGAAAGUUAUCGAUUCCUAAAUUUGGAUCUUUUGAGGAUGCAUCUCCUCAGCUCUGGGUCUCCUUCAAAUACUUAAAUCCAAAGGUUCUUAAUUGAAGAUCUGUGAGGGGUUAUCCCAUCAGCUUUGAUUAUUAUUUAUAUCCAAGCAAUAGCAAUAUUUAUGAAAACCACCAACUCCUCAAUUGGCACCUGUGAGGAGUUAUCCCCUGAACUGUGGCGGAUUCUUCUUCAUCAACUAAUAUUUUAGACAGCCACCAAUUCUUAAUUUGGAUCUGCAAAGGAUUAUCCCAAAUUGUCAGGUUAUGCCAAUAUUGGGCUCAUUGGACAGAAUAUAAAACAGAAUUUUAAACUCCUUUUUAGUCCAAUGCUUACGAUUUGGGACAAAAAUAAAGCAGUUUUUUCCCUGUAUGAUUUUCUGUGCAGAAAAAAGCCUCACUUGCCAUCGUGAUUCACCUGUCGGGUUGGGAUUGGGAAGAGCCAGGUUGAAGUUCAGCAGCCCAACCUUCUCUUUAGUCCAAUCCUGGGCAGGCAAAUCUGAAUAAGUCCAAACUGUGAAAACUUCUGAUGAGAAACAGAAUCUGUUUCAGUUGUAUCUUCCUCAGUGCAUCUCAGUAAGGUCCAAGCUAAGAUUUCUCCUGUGCAACAGACAGUCUGAACUUUUUAAAGAAAAGAAUAGAAAAUCAAGCCAAGAGAGCAAUCCAACUAUGGAAAUCACCAAUAGGAGCAGUUUCUUCUUAAAGAAGACGGCAAAGAAGAAAAUUAUUGUGCACAAUAUUGUGUUGAUGCAAAGAUUAAUAAUAAAACGUAUGAAAAGU